UACAGAGGGUGCGAGCGUUAAUCGGAAUUACUGGGCGUAAAGGGUGCGUAGGUGGUUAAUUAAGUCAGAUGUGAAAUCCCAAGGCUUAACCUUGGAAUGGCAUUUGAUACUGGUUAGCUAGAGUACAGAAGAGGGAAGUGGAAUUUCCGGUGUAGCGGUGAAAUGCGUAGAUAUCGGAAGGAACAUCAGUGGCGAAGGCGACUUCCUGGUCUGUUACUGACACUGAGGCACGAAAGCGUGGGGAGCGAACAGGAUUAGAAACCCCCGUAGUCC
rnacentral:rRNA from 1 species